AGACCAAUUAGCACAUCUGCUACUAUGUGUAGGAGGCCUAGGUCUAGCUCCCUGUAUGCUCUUUGUUUGAUGGUUCAAUCUCUGUGAGCCCCUGUGAGUCCCAGUUAGUUGACUCUGUAGUAGAAGACUAAAAUGUUUUAUAGGUCAAUAUGGAUGGAUAAGUGCAUGUGCAAAGAACUCUAACUUCUAUGAAAUUUACAAUGCCAUGAAAACACUUCAGCAAAGAUUUUGGCAUACUAUUUACAAUGUCUUGAACACCAUUCCUCACAGAACAGGCGUGAUGGAAAUCCCUUAGUAACUGAAGAGGCAUAGGCAUGAAGGAGGAGAAAUACUUGCUUACUGUAUUGUUUGUAAGGAAAAAAACCUCUUAACUGAGCUUAAAAAUCCGGUUGCGAGCCAAGAAUUGCAUGUUCCAGGAACACGCCUCUUCCUGUCACCAUAUCAAGGCCAAAGAGGUGAUUCUGCCUGCAUGAUGUCCUCCUUGCUGGAGGCGAGCUCUUUGCAGGCGCCACAUCGCGAUCAAAAAGAGAAAGAAAAAAAGAAAAGAAAACGUGGAAGAAGCAGCCAGGCUGGAUCUCGAAUUGCUAAUACUUCAAUCUGAACAUGAGAUGAGAAUGAUGGCUAUGCAAAUGGUGACCAACUCAAUAAGUUAUGCCAUGGAGAGGUACAAGGAGCUCAUACAAGUGAAUAGUUCCUACCGCAACACGCACUUCCAGCUCCUGCGUGAAUGGACUCAAUUGAAGAACAAUAUAAGGAUUUUGCUGAAUGAGAACAGACAACUGCUGGUGGAGCAGACUAAACUGCCAGCAUCCUAUGAGAAAGCAAAGAAGUUCAGUGAGGAGGCCAGCAAUUACAUCUGUGUCCCCAGAGCCAAGCAACAGCAGGUAGGGUUAGGCCUCAGGGACAGGUUGUCCUCAUGUCUUAUCAUAAACAUAGACAAACCAAUGUAACUGUCCAUUACUGUUACAUGUACUGACCUGUGUCCCAUCCAAGUGUUCAUUUAUGUAAUCAUUUACAAGGCUUUCUGUGGAGAUAGCCCUUUUUCAAGAAACUUCAUGUUUGGAAAGCAAAUGCUCCUGCUCUUUGAAAAUCUG
rnacentral:lncRNA from 1 species